AUUUCACUCAAAAACUUAUGGCUUCUUGGGGUUGCAUCCUUAUUCUUUAUUUUCUGUUUCCUCUGAUUUCCCCUAAAGCUACAAGAAAUUUGGCUUCUGGUGCACCUACCCAGUUAACUAAUAUCUACCCUUUUCCAUGCUCGGAUCACAUCAAAACGUGCAACGCGUUCCUCUAUCAGCAUAAUGGCCUGUCAAAACAGAAUAUCACCAAGUUUUACUCUAUAAAUGAAUCAGCAAUUAAGCCGAUUAGCUACGAUGACAGACAAGACUACCUAGUAACUGUACCUUGUACUUGUAAAGAUGUUAAUGGAACUGUUGGAUAUUUCUAUGACACAAGUU
rnacentral:lncRNA from 1 species